UAAAAAAUUGAAUGUCUUUAGAAUUUUAAUAACAUUCAAAACAUCCCCGAUCCAUGUAAUCCGUGUCCUAAAAAUAGCACUAGCCUUUCCUAACACGCACGUCCUGUUGUGAGGAUUACCUUGAGAUAGAGUACUGAAGGUCGACACCUGUUGAACAUUAGAUCACACUCAAGGAGGUCGGUCGAGAUUACAGUAAGAACAACAGUUGAAAAAGAUGAAAUUAUCUGCAAGCUUGUUUCUGAUUUUGGUAGUCGCUUUUACCUUCGUGUCUGAAGCUUUAUAUAUAUCCAACACUGAUUCCUACCCGACCCUCAAUAUAUGGAUGUCAAAUAAUUUUUUGAAACUCGGUGGCCAUCAACCCUGGGACAUUCAGGGACCAUGCAAACCAGCCCUAACAAGGUGUGGUGGUAGAUACGGACUAUGCUGCAAUACAAAUCUAAAAUGCGUACAAGGCUAUUGUGAGCGAGGCUAAUGAAUUGAAGCUUUGCCGUUCCAAUAAAGCUAAACAGUGAUUAAGCAGCUUUAUUUUUUUUUCUUACAUUCGAAUUAAAACGAAUUAUAAUA